CACAUCCUCAAUGAGCUAUUGAUUUCAUAAAAUAAAUCACUUAAUAGCCGAGAUACACUUCUGCUAAUUAAUGAAUUUAGAGACAGAGUUAUGUGGUCAAGGCCACGAUGGCACAGCCCUAGGAAAAAGAAGCUCACCUCUAGUGGAAGAGAGGUUUGAAGACAUGUUUACUAGAAUAAUUCUGAGGGUGCGUUGCUGGUGCCCCUCCCCAAGUAAACAACUCUCAGUCAAGCAUUUUGGUGUUUUAUAAUCCUCAGAUUUCCCCUGAAGCUAUUUCUAUAUAAGUAAAAAAGUCUCUCUCACUCUUUGGUGUUUGUUUUCCCAUAACUCGGAGCAUCUUGGUUAUACGUGUCACACGUAUAUCUCUUCCACGCAGUACUGCCCUCCCCGUGAGCUGCAGAUCACCAAAGGUACAGCUCCCAGAGAUCCACUUCUUGAAACAGUCAGAUAAGUUUUUUCUGGAAAUGUUUUCUUGAUAUUGAAGACAGGUCAGAAAAUAAGAACAAAGAGCUGAGAGAGCUGGGACUGUUCAGCCUGGAGCAGAGAAGGCUCCAGGGAGACCUCAGAUAUGCCUGUCAGUGUCUAAAGGGGGGCUAUAAGAAGGAAGGGGACAGGCUCUACCAGGGUCUGCUGUGACAGGACAUGGGGAAAUGGUUUUCAAUUAAAAGAGAUUUAGAUUGGACAUAAGGAAUAAGUUUUUUACAGUAAGAGUGGUGAGGGAGGUGGUGGAUGGUGUCCCUGGAGACAUCCAAGGUCAGGCUGGACGGGGCUCUAAGCAACCUGAUCAAUCUGCAGGUAUCCCUGUUCAUUGCAGGGGAAUUGGACUGGAUGGCCUUCAAGGGUCCCUUCCAACUCAAACUGUUCUUUGAUUCAAACUUCAGACUUCAUCCCUAAAAAUAGAGUUAAUUUCUGAUACAGUGAUAAUUCUCAUUCUGUCAAAUCAGUCUAUUUUUCUCAUUAUGAAAGCAGUUUUGACAACUGCAAUAAAGACAGACUUUUUUACUACCACAUAGCUAAAGCAGGAUUAAUAUUAAUUACAUUUUAUGUGCAGCCAUAUAACUCAAAGCCAUAUCCACAGUGAGAAAGCCCCAGCAAAAGGAAAACCAAAUUGCCAUGACUCAUAAUGGUUCAAUGCACACUCAACGACUGCAAACCCGUGUGGUAGAGGUGAGUCCCACGAGCACACUGCGGGUACCAGAGCUGUUCCUUGCUCUAGCAGGAACUGACAGCAGCAAUCAAUAGAUGGAUUAAAAGGUAAAUAAAGUAAAUUAUGGGGUUACUAUCUUGAUGUAUAAAACAGCAUGCACUCUGUCACGUGAAGCACUGUUAGCACUGUCUCUGAUAGAAAAGGCAAGCAGAGGAGAACAAGGGAUGAAAGUACACAUGGGUGCAGAUGGCAGGGUGCAGUGGGGGCAAUGAGGCAUCGGUGGGUGUAUGGUGGGAAGGGCCCUUGUGGCUCAGCUGCAGUCAGGCGUGCUUCUGUUUGUGCUGUCCAUGAAACAGUGCGGAGCGACCCGGCACCAAAUUGUUCUGAGGCAGGAGCAGAUGCAUUGAGCUGUCAGGGGCAGAGCCAUGACGAGGCGCCGUGGCGCCAGGGAAACACCUGCACAUCUCCCUGGCUGGGGGGACCCCUCCCUCUCUGAUGGGCUGCUCUGUGCCGUGGGAACAUUCUUCUCCAUAUGGUGACAUCCCCAGGAGCAGAGUCCCCAACAUCUCUGGGACCAGCAAGGGUACAGAGCUUCAGCUGCACAGGACUGGUGGAGAUGGAAAGCUGCAUGAGCUGCAAACACUGAUCCCCAGCAUCUCAUAUCAUGCUCAGCUACACGGCACCUACGUCAACAAGCUUGGAAGCCAAAUAUUCCCUGCUGUAUGGAGGGGAGGGAAGGGGAGGGGAGGGGAAGGGAGGGGAGGGGAGGGGGCACCCUAAAUCCACCCUCCCUGAGCUUGAAGCUAGCACAGCAGUUAUUGACACUUUUGUAGCAGUAUUUUUCAGAAAGAUUUCCUUCAUUUGAAAGAAAGGUCUUAAAAAGAGACAUGGAUCUUAUGAUUUUAGAAUGAAUUACAUUUGCGAUUUACAGUAUGAUUUGCAUGUGAGAGAACACUGCCUACUUCCUCCACCUGAAGGCUAGGCUUCUCUUCUCAUGGGCAGUAUUCUGACUGGACCUGGAGAUUCAGGAAUGAAAGAGUAUUGUAGAAUCAUAGAAUCACAGAAGCAUAGAAGCAUAGAAUCAUAGAAUCACAGAAUGAUUUGGGUUGGAGGGAACCACCCAGCCCCAACCCCUGCCAUGGGCAGGGCUGCCCCCCACCAGCUUAGGCUGCCCAGGGCCCCAUCCAACCUGGCCUUGAGCACCUCCAGGGAUGAGGCACCACAGCUUCUCUGGGCAGUCUGCUACAAGUAUUUUUUUAAUUUUUAUUUUUUUUUCCUUGUCCCUAUAAAAAGAAUGUCCUCCGAAGUGCCAGUGUUCAGUUGUUUCCUUCAUUUCAAAGAAUAUAAUGAAACAAAUAAAAGGACGUGUCCAACUAUCCAUGCAGCCAUAGGGCUAGAUGACGUGCAUGCAGGCUAGAAAUUUAAAUGUGUUCUUCUGAAUGACUUGCAUAUAAAAUAAAGAAAAAUCUUUUAUUGGUGUCAUGCUUUGAAAUUUGUCAUUAGAACCCCAGGCUUAGUGCCCUGCUUUUAGGCUCUGGCGUAAAUAAAUGGCAGCCACAGACGUUCAGCUUUUUGAGUCAGAGCUUUAGGCUUAACUCAUAGACAGAACCAUAGAAUCAUUAAGGUUGGAAAAGACCUCUCUGAUCACCCAGUCUGUCAGCCCACCCCCACUAUACCCACUAAGCAUGUCCCUCAGUGCCACAUCCAUACAGUUCUUAAGCACCUCCUGAAACAAUGACUCUACCACUUCCUUGGGUGCCACUGUGCCUGUGCCACUGGUUUUGGUUCGUUUGAGGUCAAAGAAGAUAGAUACACUUUGCCAUAAAGUCAUGCACAGUGGUGUCCGCCAAUAAAGAUUUUAUUAGCUUGAACUUUGGAAUACCACAUUACUCACAAGUGAUGGUGUUGUGUGUAAAUUCAUUGUUUCGGGAAAUACGGGAUGCUCAGUGUGAUGUGAGAGAAUCCCUCUCCUGCUGAAAGACGAGACCAAUUUCUGGUGCCUUCAGCACGAGCAGCAUUUUGCCAGUGACAUGUUCAGUAUCAGCAACACACACACACAUUUAUGCACACAUACAUAUGCAUAUAUGUAUGUAGGCUGCAGCAAAAGUUGUGCCUUUUAUUUAUUUUCAUGGAAACUACAAUAAAGAGCACAACAACACUGUGUGAUAGAGCAAAUUCUCAGCUACAAAACACUACUUUUCAACAUAGUCACCACUGUUAGCUGUGCAUUUUCACCAGCAAUGAAAAAGAACCUGCCUGCCAUGCUCAUAAAAAUUGGCACCAGUGGAGGUGACCCACUGUCACUGACACCACUGCUAAAGGCACCACUGCUAAAGGCCUCGUUGUGCUCACAUCCACUGUUGGGUGUCUAUAAAUGUUUAGUAAGCGUUGAUGAACAUUAAUGAGUGUCAUUUUUUUGCACGUGGAGGAAUUCAGUGACACAACUUUGCUCCAUCCGCGCUUCCAUGUCAGACACCGCUGUGUCAGACCACCCCUCUGCUGCCAUCUGUCACACGGCAACAACAUAUAAUGGAAUAUUGGUGGGAAGGUUCAACCUCUACUGCCAUCCCCCCAACAUCCUCCUUUGAUGUAAUGGGCGAGUAUCAUAACAUAGGAGGCAUUACUUCUGGAGCAGCCCUAGCAGAAACACAUAAAUGUAUAUAUAUAUAUGUGUGUUCCCAUAUUUUGGCAUUGUAUGGGCAACAGACAUAAUAUAUAACAGUUAAUAUAUACAGUUAUACGUAUUUUAGGUAUUGUAUAUUCUAUACUAUAUACACGUAUAUAUACAUAUACUAUAUAUAUGCACGUACACAUCCAUCGAUGCCCGUAGUGCGCUAACUCCCUCCUGCCGUACGUACGCACACAAGCACAUACAACACUCCUUCGGACUAACUCACACUUCGGAGCUCACUCCGACGCCCGGCCCCAGCACCAC
ensembl:lncRNA